UACGAAGGGGGCUAGCGUUGCUCGGAAUCACUGGGCGUAAAGCGUGCGUAGACGGUAGCGUAAGUCGGGUGUGAAAGCCCCGGGCUCAACCUGGGAAUUGCAUUCGAGACUGCUCUGCUAGGGUGCGGAAGAGGGAAGCGGAAUUUCCGGUGUAGCGGUGAAAUGCGUAGAUAUCGGAAGGAAUACCGAUGGCGAAGGCAGCCCCCUGGGAUAACACUGACGCUCAUGCACGAAAGCGUGGGGAGCAAACAGG
rnacentral:rRNA from 1 species